GUCAACGAAUGUUAUCAUAGGUUAUACGCGCGACUCCAGAGGCAAUUUGGAAUAUCGGCACGAAAUCGUCGGAUGAAAAUCUGAGGUGCCCGACGCACAACAUUUUGAACGUGCCACGGAGGAUCAAGGCAAAAAACGAGAGCAAAAAAGGUGCACGCUGAAGGCGGAAAUGAAGCAUGAUCUGGCUUGCAUCUGGUGCAUGAAGAAAUUGCUGGCACGUUAGUUGCAGUCUACCUCCACCAACAGGGUGGAAAACAAAGGUCGCCAUUCCGAUUAGCUGCUAUCUCCCAGUUCAAGCACUUUUGCUGUCUGGACACUGGUUCCUGUGGAUGGGCUGUUACAAGCUUCACUGUCUGAUAUAGAAGUGAUGAGCAUCCAUAAGGACACAUGGCAGAAAGGGAGUCUCUUUGAGAUGACAAACCCUCAUCACCUCAUGAGGAUACAAUGGUUGACGAAUGGUUCUCAAGUACAUCGAAACUUCAACAAAUAAUUCAUGAAAAAGCCAGUCAGUGCUAGCACCAGGAAUUGAACGUGGACCGUCCUGCUACCAGUCAGAGAUGUUACAUUUCAGGUGCUCAUUGACUUUUGGUGAAUUACUUGUUGACUUUGUCCCAAGGUGGAGCUCGCCACAGCUCAUUUGUCUAUCUGUUAAUGUUGUGGCGUGUGUUGCGUUUUUCUCUUUGUGUGUUCCAGACUCAGAACGGUAAAUUUGGAUCAGGUCAGGUACGUUUCAUUUAGACAUGGCAAACAUAAAGUGGUGUUUCUCAACACAACUUAGCAGUGGCCUUCAUGCAUUACUGCCACGGCCAUUAAGCGUGAAUGGAAGGCUGCACAUUAUGCAUGAUGUAAAACCCCAAGACUAGGAACAUGAAGGGACAAACACAAACACGUCCCUUUUUGUUCCCUAGUCACGGGGUUUUACAUAUGCAUCAUCUUCACCAGCUCACUUGCUUCCUAGCCAUUUUUUCUGCCACAUUAUGUUCACUCUACUUCUAUCGUGUGCUAUGUAAUCUUGUUCAAGUUCUGUCAAACGACGUGUAAUGCUAUAAAAACAUUCAGUACACUGUUUAUGUGGGUUGAAUGGUAGCGCAUAAAUGCAGAAAGGGAACUGUCAUGUUAUGGAAAGUGUUUACGUAUUGUACAUUUAACUACUAAUUUUAUUGGUUAGCUUUCGCCGGCAUAUGAUGUCAAGCCAUGUUAUAUUAAUUUGGAACAUGUUCUUCUUAGUAGCCAGAGCAGCUGACACACAUUGAGAACAUAGCCCGUGUGUGUUUGUCUUUUCCACCGCAGCCCUUGGGUUUCCUCCCUGAUGGCUACACAUGUCAGGGAUAGGUUUCAGAACCGGUAGUUCCCGCCAAUUGUGAAUUACUUUUCAGGGGAUCAUCACGCUGGCAGAUGAAACAUAUCGUUUAAAUUAUUUGCAGGACAGGAAUUGCGUAGCUUCACACAAAUACUACUACUACGACGUAAGAGUGGUUUCAAAUCUAGUUUUUUUGCAUUCCUGACAUUAUCGCACGAGAUGUAGUAUCCACUAUGAUCCUUUAUAUGAGGGGUAUGUACAGUGCAAUCAACAGAUGCUAUUUACAAAUCUGUGUUUUCUACUGUGUUGAAAUGGGGUAGUUUGUAUCUGAGAGAUAUAGUGAAACACAGGCAGCCAAGGACAGACUUUUGAUGCCCUCGAGAAACAUGGCAACACAUUGCAGGGAUUCUGGAUGCUGCAUAAAUUUCCAGAACACACAGCUCAAGGCAGCGGUUAAAUAACAAGUGGUUAGAGAAAUACAAGACAGUUGCAUGUGUAAGCAGUCUGCUGUUGGAUUUGCUUCUGUCUGAGAUACGUUAUCUCAAAGGGAACGCACGGACACACUCCGAAUGAUACUAGGGCUGCCUGUGAAAUAGAAUGAGGAGAGGGGAAGAUAUAUAACCCUUUUUUCUUGUCUGUUAUUCUAUUGGUUAACUUGUCAUUUGCUUAGCAGCAUAUAUGUGUAUAUUCCAGAGUCUGCUAAUAAAUAUAUCAGUUGAGAGCUAGCAGUCGCAUUGCAGAUGUCUCAUCCUGUCCUUGGCUGCUUGUGUUUCACUAUGGCCAUGCUUGCUAUUGCAAAAACAGAAAACAAAAAAAGACAAUAGAAAAACACGAAAAGAGCGACCUAAAAAGCUGCCUGUGCUAGUGCUCACAUGGAGGGAAUGCAAUGAGGUAGCAUGUUCCAUUC